GACGAACGCUGGCGGCGUGCUUAACACAUGCACGUCGAACGGAAAGGCCCUGCUUUUGUGGGGUGCUCGAGUGGCGAACGGGUGAGUAACACGUGAGUAACCUGCCCUUGCCUUUGGGAUAACUUCAGGAAACUGGGGCUAAUACCGGAUAGGCGCUCCUGCUGCAUGGUGGGGGUUGGAAAGUUUCGGCUGUUGGGGAUGGACUCGCGGCUUAUCAGCUUGUUGGUGGGGCAGUGUCUUACCAAGGAUUUGACGGGUAGCCGGCCUGAGAGGGUGACCGGCAACAUUGGGACUGAGAUACGGCCCAGACUACUACGGGAGGCAGCAGUGGGAAAUAUUACACAAUGGGCGGAAGCCUGAUGCGGCAACGCCGCGUGCGGGAUGACGGCCUUCGGGUUGUAAACCGCUUUCGCCUGGGACGAAGCGUGAGUGACGGUAAUGGGUAAAGAAGCACCGGCUAACUACGUG
rnacentral:rRNA from 1 species